AUGCACAGCGCUCGCAUUCAAAUCCAAAAUGACGCGCAGAUGUACUCGCCCAUAAAUAGAUGUUCUGGGGCUAAGAGUCCUCAUUGGUCCGAAGAUACCAUGGGUCCUCCGAUCAAAGUGCUUUUCGCUGUGUCGCUCGCUGUGCUCUUGGGCCAGUGUGGUGCACGAAGAAAUGCUGAGGUAGAGGACAUUGAGGUUUCAUCAACUGAUAAAACCUGGGAGGAUAGUGUGAAGGAUGAUGUGCAAGAUGUUGUGACGGUUCCAAAAGAUGAGAAAAGAUCAGUAUCACUUCAAGUCCUUGAUUCGAGUAUCAAUGACAUUGUUGUUGGAACGGAACAGCACUUGGACAUCGAGCACGAUUACGUUAAGAAGAUUAGCGGAUGGGUCGCGCGAGCUUCCAAAGUUGAGAAAGUGAGAAAAAUUUUGAGGAAAUUCCUGCAAAUAAACAGGAGAGAUAUUGGUCAAAGCCGGAACACAGCGAGGGAAAUCGUUUGCAACAAAUAUCUGAACUUCAAGAGUACUACUAAGCUCGUCAAACCAUCAGAUGCCGACCUCAUUGAACCAUGUUUCGAGAACAAACUCGAACCAACGACGACCCGCCUGAAUAAAAUCCUCGGUGACCCGAAAAUGAGCUAUCGCCGAAUCCGACGCCAGCAGAGAGCCAAUCCGCCAGUGUUGAGCAGUCCUCCGAUCGCGCCGGGCAGUACGCUCUUUCGCUCGUCGCCCCAGCGGGAGCUUCGACUUUUCGUGCGCGUUCAAGUUUCGAGGUUAGGUAUCGUGGUUGCUUUUUCAUUCUCUCAGAAAGUUCGCUCCGAAGCUUCGAUCCCUAAUUUCAAAAGUUUACGAGAAUGUGCGGACUGGUGAAGUUCAACUAAGAACAUGUGCGAAUUUUUCUCUGAUAAAA
rnacentral:lncRNA from 1 species